GGGGAAUCAGCUCAAGUGGUAGAGCGCUUGCUUAGCAUGCAAGAGGUAGUGGGAUCGAUGCCCACAUUCUCCA
rnacentral:tRNA from 2 species